UACGAAGGGGGCUAGCGUUGCUCGGAAUCACUGGGCGUAAAGGGCGCGUAGGCGGCGUUUUAAGUCGGGGGUGAAAGCCUGUGGCUCAACCACAGAAUGGCCUCGAUACUGGGACGCUUGAGUAUGGUAGAGGUUGGUGGAACUGCGAGUGUAGAGGUGAAAUUCGUAGAUAUUGGGAAGAACACCGGUGGCGAAGGCGGCUCUCUGGACCGAUACUGACGCUGAGGCGCGAAAGCGUGGGGAGCAAACAGG
rnacentral:rRNA from 1 species